AUAACGCGCUCGUUUUGUUUUCAAUUUUGUUCUAAAUUUUUUUUUUUGCAUGUCAAGAGGCUGGUGAGGGGCGCUUUCAAUUAGAGUUCAACGCGAUACCGAUAUCCGCACGCACGCGCGCGCGCGCGUGACCACACAGACACACACACACACAACAUACUUUACUAUUAAAGCUAAAGGUUUCCACCCUCUUCAAUGGUACUGUUAGGAAAACAGUGUUUUGUGUGUCCACAGCACGAGCGAGUAUCGCCUUCCCAAUCGCCAGCCUGCCUUCGCUUCUCGUUAGAGACCCAAAUCGUGCCGCAAGGAAAGCCAAAGUGCGCACGCCCUCCGGCUCAAUAUUUAUUGCAUCUACGUCGAAUUGUAGCUCACUACCAACGACGCCGCCGCCAACACUGGAAUUCGAAUAAAUCACAAAAAAAUAGACAGGUGGAGGAAGUCGUGCUCACCUCAGACACAUCGCGAGACGUUCUCCGGGUGAUAUUGGUUCUCUGCACAGCCACUCUCUCGUGAGUCCAAACUUCACCAAGCUGUGUAGCUUGUCGAACGCUUCUGGCGUCAUCCGGUGGUACUUACAGAAAAGCGUGGCGUCUCCGUUUUCAUUUUUCCACCUGUAAUACAGUAAACAGGUCAAUUCCACCGUUCGGAUCCUUUGAUAGUGCCGGUCAACUUACCGCCGUGAAGAACUCGCUUUCUCGGGCACGAGUUACCCAAACAGGCCGCACCCAGUGCUCACGGGCACUCAGCUACCGCUGCUUCAAAAUGAGCAUCAGUCGUAGCGCUGCGGCUUUUCUUCUACGUUCCAUGCCCACGAGAGGAAACGUCGUCCAGACACAACUCGUACACUAGCCCUAAAACAUGCUAACAUGACGCAGUUUGCAAAGUGCGUCGUAGCGUUGUAGCUGCGUACUAGCGUACGCUUCCGGGCGCACCCUCGAGGUCUCAGCAGAUACUACUGUCGCAGUUAAACAAAGGAUUGUGAAAAAAGAAAGUCGCGAAACGCUGUUAUGACUUCCUUACCUUACACAAGUCAAUAAUAAAUUUGGCAUGUUGCCAUUAGCUUACUUUGUCGCAGUUUACCCUCGACUACGCAAUAGUUUCCAAACGAGCAACCACGGCACUUUGUCGCGAACAUGUGGGUGCUCCCGUCGCGACGCGACAGCGCGACGGAGCCCGUUUGUCGCUGUCACUCGUCGCCGUCGCUCGAAAAUCGCGUGCAUGCGGUUGGGCCUUUAGCCUGGUAAGUGUGACUUCUGUGCGGUGCGACUUCGAUACUGGCGGCCAAUUACCAAGAUGUGGCUUGAUUACGUGCAGUUUACUUUGUGAGUGUCUAUCCCAUGAGCUCUGCGAAUAGGCCCUGAGAUUUCGUUUAAGGAAGGGUUUUAGGUCAAGUGCAGGGAUAGCUUUUGGUGUAUUGGUAGCGUUUUUGUGGGCGGAUGCAACUAGCCGGUCCGCGAACACGUUUCCUAGUAUCUCGUGGUGCCCUGGCACUCUGCACACUGCAACAUGCUGUUUGAAUGUGUAAAUCUUGCAUAAGAGUGAGUAAAGUAAGACAAGGACAGGGUCUUUGUGCUUUUUCAGUUUUCAGGGAUUUAAGCUUAGGGAAUCAGUGUAUAUUAUUGCACUUUGUAGUUUUAAUUGUUUAUUGUUAGACGGCGGCAAAUAUCGCAUAAGCUUCUGCUGUGAAGAUGCUUGUAUUGGGGCGCAGAACGCCGACACCUGAAAAAGAUGGAACGACCGCUGCGUAAGACACAAUAGGGUUAGACUUUGAGGUAUCUGUAAAGAAUUCAGGACAGGUGUACUUGUGCUGCAGUUCGAGGAAGUAUGUACGCAUAUGUGCAAUAGGCGCGUGUUUCGUAACUUCCUCCAAGGAUACAUCACAUUCUAUGAGCUGCCAUUGUCUCGGCGGCAGAUAUGCAGCGGGAGCCAUUAGUCAGUGUUCAUGGAGUGAGAGACCCAUUUUCUCAGCGAGGCCCCUCACGCGAGGUCAGUAAGGCUGUCUCAACGAAGAUGAAACAAUACUUGGUUGAGCAAAUUGAAGACACUAACCAAUGCUAAAAUUUCAAUGGCGCUAUCACUAUAAUGUGGCACAACGCCUGCCAUUUGCUACUGCGAAAAUGUAGUGCAAGUUAAUGACUGACUCAGAAUAGGCUUAGCUAGGAAUGACUAGAGGUUGCUAUACAAGUACCUGUGCGCAACUGAGACACCCUUUGUAGCAACACUGUUUUCAUAGCUCCACUGUCAUAGUGUUGCCAUGAUGGAAAGAACCGGAGCAGGCAACCUGCUUCCAAAGAUUCAGGUGGGGACAUCUGCCCCACUCUUCAUUUAUUGUUUUUUACAUAAGAUUGCCUCAUAUAAAGGCGGUCCUUUCUCUAGGUGCUCUGGGAAUGUCACAGUUGUGGAAGAGAACAGUCCGCAGUAAUCGUUAGUCCCUCCUCUUUUUAACACACGCAGCAACGCCCAGGCUUCCUUGUUGCCUGGCUCCCAGCACAGCCCCUAGUAUUGCCUGCACUCCCCAAGCCCUAUUUGCAUCAGCCUCGUGUGUCUUGCUGCCUCUGCUGUGCCCCUGACGCUGGGUACCCAUCGCCCAUUAAGCUCGUACUGCAAGCCAUAGGAGGUAUGCUUUAUGUGGGUCAGCUGCAGAAGGCAGCUGCUUCCAGGCAGGCGACCUGCAGCACCCCAGCAUCCACGAUGGCUAGCCACCAAAGGAACAGCCAAUGCCUGCGAACUCUUGAGCGGAACGUCAGCUCGCUGCAUUGGUGGUGGUGUUAAUUGCCAGCAGGCUCCUGUGGAUCUCUGGGUACACUGGCUGUUCUACAGCUUGCACGUUGGCCGAGUACUUGGACGCUCUUUGCCUGGCGGCUUGCCAGCCCUCAGGAUGCUGCUUGAUUUGCUGUAUAGGUGCAGUCGGUCAUCGGUCCUGCGGAACGCUGAUGAACUGCCGUGCAGAAACAGUGCAUCUGGAUACCACGGAUAAGCAUCCUCUUCUGCGGACACAUCGAGAGCCCCCAUACGGCGUGAAAAUGACGCUUGGUCAGCAAUCGUCUCCCUGCAGAUGUCAUCCUCUGUGCUAUCUCUCCUACUUCUCAGGCCAAAAGCCUGGAAGAAGUGUGCGGCUCCAAACAACAUUGUGGUUGCUGCUGCAAUCACUGCUCUAAGGACCAUUGAUCCGGCACUCCAUCCUGCCGCCUCUAUGGCGUGUUUCCAUACGUACCAUUUUGCAGCUGCGCAGUUGUGAGCCCGUGGCAGUCUUGCUGAUCGAAGCAAGGUCUGAGCACGGGCUAGUUGGUAUUCCAUUUCCAUGUGGUUUUUGUCGCAUGUGUCGGUUUUCAUAAAUCGCCUUGUUCACAAUAAAAUUUUACUUGGAAGUCA
rnacentral:lncRNA from 1 species